AUACGUAGGGGGCGAGCGUUGUCCGGAAUGAUUGGGCGUAAAGGGCGCGUAGGCGGCCCGGUAAGUCUGGAGUGAAAGUCCUGUUUUUAAGAUGGGAAUUGCUUUGGAUACUGUCGGGCUUGAGUGCAGGAGAGGUAAGUGGAAUUCCCAGUGUAGCGGUGAAAUGCGUAGAGAUUGGGAGGAACACCAGUGGCGAAGGCGACUUACUGGACUGUAACUGACGCUGAGGCGCGAAAGUGUGUGGAGCAAACAGGAUUAGAUACCCUGGUAGUCCACACUGUAAACGAUGAAUGCUAGGUGUAAGAGGUAUCGACCCCUUUUGUGCCGGAGUCAACACAAUAAGCAUUCCGCCUGGGGAGUACGGCCGCAAGGUUGAAACUCAAAUGAAUUGGCGGGG
rnacentral:rRNA from 1 species